ensembl:ncRNA C04F1.4 ncRNA
AGAAUCCCCUAAAGGAAAGCUUCUUUUCCGUGAAUUAACACUGAUGAAUUGCUCAAGACAAGAGACGGAUGAAUCUAGUUAGUUAUAGCAAAAAGAGUGUGAGAUAGUGAGAGAGUGUUAGUGAAUUAGGGGACGAGGGGACCACGACG